CUAACUCAAAGGAUGUAUCACAGACACAAUGUACACAAUGUGAUAGAAGAAUAAUCCUUUUAUUCAUUUAUAGUCAAAAUUAUAAAUUUGCCCUUAGAUCUGUAUAGGAAUGUGUCAGCCGAUCUGGCAUCUAGGGCACACAUCUAAUAGAAAGCUGACACAAUAAAUAGCAUAAAGCAAAGAUUCUAGUUAAAUAUUUGUACUUAUUUUAUAAUUUACUCUAGAAAUUUUUAGAUGCAAAAAGACUUACUAUUUUAUCAGAUCUCUCUCACUCUCCAGAUGGAGAAACAAAAACUCUAAUAUG
rnacentral:lncRNA from 1 species